rnacentral:piRNA from 1 species
UGGGGAAGCCUGGGUUCUGAAGGUGCAUGUGU